rnacentral:pre_miRNA from 1 species
CAUUGUCUUCACGAUGCUGGCGCGCUAUUGAAAGCGUUAACAUCGUGUUAAGCUAAGG